rnacentral:rRNA from 1 species
UGCAGUCGAACGGUGAACACGGAGCUUGCUCUGUGGGAUCAGUGGCGAACGGGUGAUUAACACGUGAGCAACCUGCCCCUGACUCUGGGAUAAGCGCUGGAAACGGCGUCUAAUACUGGAUAUGUGACGUGACCGCAUGGUCUGCGUCUGGAAAGAAUUUCGGUUGGGGAUGGGCUCGCGGCCUAUCAGCUUGUUGGUGAGGUAAUGGCUCACCAAGGCGUCGACGGGUAGCCGGCCUGAGAGGGUGACCGGCCACACUGGGACUGAGACACGGCCCAGACUCCUACGGGAGGCAGCAGUGGGGAAUAUUGCACAAUGGGCGCAAGCCUGAUGCAGCAACGCCGCGUGAGGGACGACGGCCUUCGGGUUGUAAACCUCUUUUAGCAGGGAAGAAGCGAAAGUGACGGUACCUGCAGAAAAAGCGCCGGCUAACUACGUGCCAGCAGCCGCGGUAAUACGUAGGGCGCAAGCGUUAUCCGGAAUUAUUGGGCGUAAAGAGCUCGUAGGCGGUUUGUCGCGUCUGCUGUGAAAUCCGGAGGCUCAACCUCCGGCCUGCAGUGGGUACGGGCAGACUAGAGUGCGGUAGGGGAGAUUGGAAUUCCUGGUGUAGCGGUGGAAUGCGCAGAUAUCAGGAGGAACACCGAUGGCGAAGGCAGAUCUCUGGGCCGUAACUGACGCUGAGGAGCGAAAGGGUGGGGAGCAAACAGGCUUAGAUACCCUGGUAGUCCACCCCGUAAACGUUGGGAACUAGUUGUGGGGUCCAUUCCACGGAUUCCGUGACGCAGCUAACGCAUUAAGUUCCCCGCCUGGGGAGUACGGCCGCAAGGCUAAAACUCAAAGGAAUUGACGGGGACCCGCACAAGCGGCGGAGCAUGCGGAUUAAUUCGAUGCAACGCGAAGAACCUUACCAAGGCUUGACAUAUACGAGAACGGGCCAGAAAUGGUCAACUCUUUGGACACUCGUAAACAGGUGGUGCAUGG